rnacentral:rRNA from 1 species
GACGUAGGGCGCGAGCGUUGUCCGGAAUCAUUGGGCGUAAAGAGCGUGUAGGCGGCCUGAUAAGUCGGCUGUGAAAGUCAAGGGCUCAACCCUUGAAUGCCGGCCGAUACUGUCAGGCUAGAGUCCGGAAGAGGCGAGUGGAAUUCCUGGUGUAGCGGUGAAAUGCGCAGAUAUCAGGAGGAACACCUAUGGCGAAGGCAGCUCGCUGGGACGGUACUGACGCUGAGACGCGAAAGCGUGGGGAGCGAACAGG